rnacentral:lncRNA from 1 species
CAACACAGACACCAGGAACUGCUGGGAGAGUCCACAGGGGACCCAUUCUGAAAGUGUGGGAUCAACAGGGGCAAAACGUACAGCUGGAAGAGGAAGAGAUUCCCAAUUUGGGAGCUGGCUUUCGGGACAGAGGAUUUAACACCAUGGCAAGAUUCCAGAGUGACCGUGUGAACACACUGCUAGGCUGGCUCUUAGAAGCAUGAAAAAAAGGACGGUCUACACUAUGUGAGGUGGAAAUGCCAGAAUCACCACGACAGGUGAUGGAAGAAGGGGAUAAAAGGCCUGGAGAAGUGGCCAUCCUAGAAUUGAUGUACUCUGUGCAGCAGAAAAGCCUGCCGGAUGACUAUAUUCAGUAGAAGGGCCUGGAGAAUACCCCGAAGCAGUGAGUGUAUGGUGGGUAUGAGAGGGGCACCAGGGUCACUAAGAGUCUAUAGGCCAGAGCCAAUGGUAGGAGAUGCCGUUACAGAACUAGUCUCAUUAAUGACAAUGGGCAUGAUUGGACCCUGAAACGGCAGGGAGCAGAUGUGGCCGUUAACUCUCGGAAGCCAGGUAGAUGCAGUUAUCAUAAUAAGCAGCAAGGUUGGAGUGGCAGCCAGGGGACUGAGACACAAAGAGUUGCACACAAAAGUAACUGGGCAAAAGGGUUCUGCUCAGUCUGUCCAACAACAAACACAACAGAUCAAGAAUGGCUGAUCAGGAGGCCAAGGACAGCUACCCCAAUAAAAGGUCAGGAGCUCUUGCUCAGUUUCCAGAAACGAGGUCGUUUUCAGACCCAGAACCCGUGGAUUGAAAGAGAGGCCGUGACCCGGCAGCUGGUUCUUGCUGAGCUUGCAAUGAUCUUGCCAUGAUCAAUGUGGACAGCCACUCCAGCACUGUCCCCACAGUUUAGAAGGUAGUUCAUCUUUUUCCUUCUUCUUCUUGUUUUUUUUUUUUUUU